rnacentral:rRNA from 1 species
GGAAUCACUGGGCGUAAGAGCGUGUAGGCGGGUUAUUAAGUCAGAAGUGAAAUCCUAUGGCUCAACCAUAGAACUGCUUUUGAAACUGGUAACCUAGAGUAUGGGAGAGGUAGAUGGAAUUUCUGGUGUAGGGGUAAAAUCCGUAGAGAUCAGAAGGAAUACCGAUUGCGAAGGCGAUCUACUGGAACAUUACUGACGCUGAGACGCGAAAGCGUGGGGAGCAAACAGGAUUAGAUACCCUGGUAGUCCACGCCCUAAACGAUGUACACUAGUUGUUGCCAUGCUAGACAUGGCAGUAAUGCAGUUAACACAUUAAGUGUACCGCCUGGGGAGUACGGUCGCAAGAUUAAAACUCAAAGGAAUAGACGGGGACCCGCACAAGCGGUGGAGCAUGUGGUUUAAUUCGACGAUACGCGAAGAACCUUACCUGGACUUGACAUUUACAGAACUUUCAAGAGAUUGAUUGGUGUCUGCUUGCAGAAACUGUAGGACAGGUGCUGCACGGCUGUCGUCAGCUCGUGUCGUGAGAUGUUGGGUUAAGUCCCGCAACGAGCGCAACCCACGUCGUUAGUUGCUAACAGUUCGGCUGAGAACUCUAACGAGACUGCCUGGGCAACCAGGAGGAAGGUGUGGACGACGUCAAGUCAUCAUGGCCCUUACGUCCAGGGCUACACACGUGCUACAAUGGGGUAUACAAAGAGCCGCGAUACCGCGAGGUGGAGCAAAUCUCAAAAAUAUCUCCCAGUUCGGAUUGUACUCUGCAACUCGAGUGCAUGAAGUUGGAAUCGCUAGUAAUCGUAGAUCAGCAAUGCUACGGUGAAUACGUUCCCGGGUCUUGUACUCACCGCCCGUCACACCAUGGGAGUUGAACUCAUUCGAAGCGGGGAUGCUAAGAUAGCUACC